AUUGAACGCUGGCGGCAGGCCUAACACAUGCAAGUCGAGCGGAGCGGCGGACGGGUGAGUAAUGCCUAGGAAUCUGCCUGGUAGUGGGGGAUAACGUCCGGAAACGGGCGCUAAUACCGCAUACUAUCAGAUGAGCCUAGGUCGGAUUAGCUAGUUGGUGGGGUAAAGGCCUACCAAGGCGACGAUCCGUAACUGGUCUGAGAGGAUGAUCAGUCACACUGGAAGUGAGACACGGUCCAGAGUCCUACGAGAGGCAGCAGUUGGGAAGAUUGAGCAAUGGGCGACAGCCUGCUCCAGCCAUGCCGAGUGUGUGAAGAAGUACUUCGGAUAGUAAAUCGCUUUAAGUUGGGAGGCGUUACCAACAGAAUGAGCACCAGCUAACUUCGUGCCAGCAGCCGCGGUAAUUC
rnacentral:rRNA from 1 species